UCCGUGCUGGCGAAAAAGGGUUCUGACUUCACAGCCUUCCCCGCCUAAACACACACUCUUAACUCCUUCUUUCCCAGAUUCUGAAAUAGUUACGCCUCCGGUUUGGGCGAAAUCUUUUCUUCCAUUUGUGCCAGUUCGAUUAUGCAAAUGUCAUUCAUGGUCAACCCACGAGAUAUUUUGGCUGUUUUUACAGACGUAUGUUGGUUGCUGUAAUUUUCUUCUUGUGUCUCCUAUUUUAUGAGCCUACCACACAUUUUCAGACGUUCAGAGGAACACAUUUAAGAAACAGAACUUUCCGUAGGAUGGGAACAUGAAGGUGGGCCGUGAGUCUUGCCUUGGAGUGCCCUCCAGCCACGUCGGCUGCUGCCUCGUCCUGCUGCACGGAGCAGCCCUCACCUUUUGCCGGGGCUCUUUCACUCUUCCUCGUGUGCGACCCAACCCUCGCAGGUCCUGCGUCCUUCUUACUGAGCUGCUCCCCCAGUUGACCAUCCACGCUUGCUUCCCAAGGAAAGACGAAGGCAUCAUCGGUACCUCGUGUGUCUGAGACACGCCUUUCUCCUCCGCGAUUCCUUUUGCUUAGCGAUGAAACGCUGAUGGAGCACCGGGUCAAACCACAAACACGAACCUCCUAGUUUGUUCCUAGUUUGCUGAGUGUAACAGUCCAGCUUAAGAGAGCCUCCACACUUUGAAGGUGUUUCUGCAUUUUCCUUCUAGGCUGCACUCUUCGGAGGAAGCUGGAUGUCAUUCUUAUUCACAUUAUCUUGGAGUGAACACGCGAGCUUUUUCCCUCUCUCCCUGCUACUUUAAUUCCUAGUGUUUGGAGGUAACAGCAGUGCCCCCUCAGUGUAAGUAAUUUUAAACACAUUCAUCUCCAUAAGUUUAAUCUUGAAAUCCUUAUGUUUCCUUUUAAAAUUUUUUCUCGUUGAUUUCAUUGAUGACGUCCAUCGCCUCUGUUUUCUUUCUUUAUCUGUUGUUGGUUAGAGUUUGUAGAGUAAUCAAAUCUUAAAAGUAGGUUCAACAGUAACGUGCUAUUUCGUUAAUGUUUUGUUUUCUGUUGGGAGUUCUCCUUGAUGUUGUCUCCCAGCUUGUCUAUUUAUUUCUUUAAAUUCCUGCCAACGUAUUUUUUAUUACUCCAUGAAUUUUAUUACAUUUAUAGUUUAACGACAAUCAUCACAUCCAAUUUUAUAGCAUUUCCAUCCCAAACCUUCAGUGCACCCCCCAUCCCUCCAACCUGUCUCUUUUGGAAACCAUAAGUUUUUCGAAGUCAGUGAGUCAGUAUCUGUUCUACAAAGAAGUUCAUUGUGUCCUUUCUUCAGAUUUCACACGUCAGUGAUAGCAUAUGAUAUCGGUGUCUCACCAUCUAACUUCACUUAGCAUAAUCUCUAGGUCCACCUAUGUUGCUGCAAAUGCCAUCAUUUCUUUCCUUUUAAGGGCUGAGUAAUAUUCCAUUGUGUAUAUGUACCACAUCAAGAGAUCCACUCCUCUGUCGAUGGACAUUGAGGUUGUUUCCAUGUCUUGGCCAUUGAAAAUAGUGCUGCCAUGAACAUCGGAGUACAUGUGUCUUUGCGAGUCAUGGUUUUCUCUGGAUAGAUGCCCAGGAGUGGGAUUGCUGGGUCAAAUGGCAGUUCUCUUUUUAGUUUUCUGAGGAAUCUCCAUACUGUUUUCCACAGUGGUGGCACACAUUUACAAUCCCACCAACAGUGUAAGAGGGUUUCCUUUUCUCCACACCCUCUCCAGCACUGAUUGUUUGUAGACUUUGUGAUGAUGGCCAUUCUGGCUGGUGUAAGGUGGUACCUCUGAGUGGUUUUGAUUUGCAUUUCUCUGGUAAUGAGUGAUGUUGAACAUCUUUUCAUGUGUUUUUGGCCGUCUCUGUGUCUUCUUUGGAGAAUCGUCUGUUUAGGUCUUCUGCCUGCCAACAUAUUUUUAACCUCCAAGAGUGGUUGUUUUUUCUUCUCCAAAUGUUGCCUGUUUGAGUUCUGAGAGUAUCGUAGGUUUUUGAGAUGUUCUUCUGCAUUAACUUUUUACUCUGAGUUUUAUAACUUUCUCAUUUUUAUUUGGAUCUCUCUUUCUUGUUGUAAGUUUUCCUACACUAUCUGGGGACCCUGAUGAGAUAACAUGAAGUUAGACAACAAAGCACAUUCCAGCCCGUAGUUGAAAUGUGUGCAUUUCCUACUUCAGGACUUUAAAAGUUUAUUUGGAAGCUACAAAUUCACACACUCUAAGAAUUAACCAGAAUACCCAUUUUGUUGUCUGUUUAAGAACAAGCUGUCCUGCAUCGCCUGGCAUCCUGGAGUUUGAUUGUAUUGUGGCAGGCAGGUCGUGAGGCUGUCUCCACGCAACUUCAAUACAUUUGGCUACAAUAUAAAUCACCUGUUGAAUUAGCUGUUCCUUUACCCACCAACAUCAAAUAAUUAUUUUUAGUGAAGUUAUUUAUUUUAAGGAAAUAAUACCAGAAGCCUUCUUUUGGAAAUGAAUUUUCUAGGCUAUUCAGAUGGGAAAGGGGAGUGUGAACAAGUGUAGGAAGAAGUUUCUGUUACAUACUCGUAAAUAUUUAAUUUUCAGCAAGGGCUGAGUUUUAAACUUGUGCCUAGGCAUUGGGCUAAACACACUACAGUUAUUAAAAUGUAUCAUUUUUCCAGCCUCCAUAAUGUUCUAGUUUUACAGAUGAGAAAAUAGGUUUAUGGAAGAUAAAUAAUUUUCGAGAAUCCAUACAUCCAGUUAAGUAGGAAAAUAAGGAUUUUAAUAUGUGUUUUUAUAUUGGUAGGAUAUUUCAUUUUAAAAAAUGUAUUGGCGUAUAGUUGACUUACAGUGUUGUAUUAGUUCCAGGUGUACAGCAAAGUGAGUCAGUUAUGUAUAUACAUAUAUCCAUUCUUUUUCCCAUACAGGUUAUUACAGACUGUCGAGUGGAUCUCACUGUGCUGUGCAGCAGGUUCUUGUUAGUGAGCUGAUUACACAGGAGUGUGUAUAUGUUAUUACCAUCCUCCUAAUCCCCCCUGUCCCCCCUGUGAUGCCAUACGCUUGAUUUUGAAAUGUAUGAGUUUUGUUUCCAUUAUAUAAAAUUCUUCUGUAUCUGUUUUUAAGAUUUCAAUGCAAAUCUUACCUCUUUAAGAGCUUCUGCCUCUCUAUAGCAAACUCCAUAUAAUUAUUCAUAGUUUCAAAAACUUUCCAAAUCCUCAUAGUUAUCAUUAGAAGCAUAAAUUAUCAUCAUCAUAAUUAUUAUUUUAUUAUUAAAUAAUUAUUAAUAAAGUCUGUAAAAUUAAAUUUAUGUAUAGAAGGGAAAUUUCAUAAAUUAUACUUUGUUAAAAGAAAACCUUCAUCUUUUAAUGAGAUACUUUACCAGAUAUCCAAUUUAUGUAUUCUAUUCUUAGAGUAAAUACUUAUUUCCAAUAUUUUUUCUUACCUAAAUUUGUUAGCAAUUUUAAGAAUUGCUAUCUGGCAAAUAGUUACAGAAGAGUGAAGUCAGAAACUUGUAGGUUGGAAGUAGCAAGUCAGUUGAUUUUUUUUGGAUCUCAUCUUAGUUUCCACUUUAAAAAAACAUUCUAUUUUUAUUAUAAGACAAUGAUUCCAACCAGUAAGCUAUUCUCAAAGGAAAGUUAGCCAUGCUUAGAAAAGCAGGGUCAGAAUCAGAGUUGGAGUUGCUGUCAGGUGAAUACCUUUUCUGAGACUGACAGUUUCCAGUGAGGUGACGGAUAAUUUUAAAAAGCACUGGAAAAAAAAUAAGAAGUCUUACCAGUUCCCCUAGUUUUAGUAAUAAUACAUUUAUUAAAAUGCUUCUUUUUAAUAAAAAAAGCUAUGACGUUUCCGUUGCGUUGGCCUUCCCUUGUUUUCCAUGGAGACCCAUGGGUACAAUCCCAAGAGUUCCAGCUGCCUCAGCUGUACCCAGUUCUCUGCUUAGUUCCCACCAGACAUAGAAGCUGGAGAAAUGGGUGGAAGUGUCUGUCUCUGUUCUUAGUAGUCUCUCAUGAAAUUGUUGCAGGAAUUAAACAAGACAUAGUUUAAUGAUAAUUCAGUCAGUAAAGCUGCUCCCAUGCUCAGUGGUAUAAAGUAGAGAAUGUGGGUUGAGAGAGACACACACAGAGUUCCCAGGAGCCAGAGACCCCACUCCACGGCUACCGGGAGGCACUGCAGUGUGGGAGCCCUUUGUAGCAGGUUCAGGCUGGGAAAAAGUAUAGAAUGAGUAUCCGUGUUUUCUUAGUGCCUUUGACAGCAUGAUCUGUUUUACAUCUGUUGCCCUAAACCCUUCACCGAACCCUUCUUGACAUGAUGGGAAACUGAUUCCUCGGGCUUUGCUCCUGAAUUUUACUCUCAGAAGGAUCUGGGGAGUGGAGUUAGGGAUGCUGACGGUGGGUUUGAAAUCUGCUAAGAGGGCAGUAGAUCCUCAGGGUUCUUAUCACACACUCAGAGGAGGGUAAGCUUGGGAGGUGGUGGCCGUGCGAACGCGCCGACUGUGUGAUCAUUUCUCAGGAAGACAGAGGUUAAAGCACUUCGUACAUCUCUGAAAAUGCACCCGUGCACCUCAGCGUGUGUGCACUUUUAUCAGUCUUGGAGGAAACCCGGAGAUGCCGAAACCCGGAAGGUGACGCACCACCUAGGGCAGCCCAGACCACCUCGCUGCUUCCGCCGGCAGCCCCUGCCCCCGAGCCGGGCGCACCUGGUCCCCGCACCCCAGCCCUUCCGGGCUCCCAGCUGCGGCCGCGUCAGUGUGGCCCUGAGACCGACUCUGACUGCAGACCCUCCCACGGUCCUGCCUCUGGCGUCCUCUGGGCCCCGUCGAGGGGACGCUUCUCUCGGUUGGGGUGACGCGUAAGCCGCACAGAGCAGCAGGGUGCAGCCGCGGGGCGCCAGCUCUGCAGCAGGAGAGCGCUCGCCCGGGGGGGUCCAGAGGGAGCCUACAAAGAGCAGGCGUCGCUGGGAUGUCCCAGCCCUCGAAGAGCCAACUCUCCCGUGUAAUUUCUCAGGAUGCCUCACCAGACAAAGGCAUUCGCUUCAGAGAGGGAAGCAGGAGGUUCGACCUGGAGAGGUCAAAGGAUGCGUCCUUGGGGGUGGAAGGGGGUCCCCAGAUGAGGCCUUGCAGCCAGCCUGAGGCCCGCGGGGGGAUUCGCACAGCAGAACUGCAGGAGAAAAGGUUAGCUGUGCGUCCGCGGGUGGAGGGUUUCUUAUGGAGAGUCUGCAGAUAAGUUAGGGAUAGACCCUUUAUAGAAAACGAAGCAAUAAGCUUACCGGACCGAUAUCCCCAAAGAAUGCUUAACUCUGGGGAACCAAAGAAGUUGUUAAGAAAAGUAAAGCAAUUAUAAUAUUGUACACAUGGUUAGAGUCAUAUUUAUAAAAACAUGGACGGAACCCCUGGGCCUGUGGAGGCAUCCUUUUAAGGGCUUCUUCCGCGCCUUGGGAAGCCGUCGGAGCAUUGCUUUUCCUGUAGAGGAAGGAAUGGCUCUAAAGAGCAAGGCCAAGAGACCGCAUUUACCUGCAUGCCAAGAAAAUUAUUUUGCAGAAUGUGCUCAGCCCAGCCAAUGAAAGAACACUGAUGCCAGUUGAACUCACUGCUCUGCCCAAUCUGUUACAUUGUGUGUGUGUGUGGGUAUGUGUGAGUAGGAAAAAGCUGUUACUGCCAAUAUCGCUGUGAAAACAUCCAAAUAGCGAAUAACUUGUUCUUUUAAAUCUGAGGGAUGAGUAAUUUGGGAAUAACACACUGUAGCAGUUACUGCUCUCCAAAGACCAGCAACACUGUUUGCCACUGAAUUUUCACUCUCCCCCCACCCCUUAGUCAUUUAUCCAAGACGUAGCUGUCUCUUUUUAUGCUGAUGCUAAUAAUAGUCUCAGUCUGUCCAGACAACAUGCUGGCUCCUCGGAGGCCUCUCCCCGUCCUGGGUGAGCGCUUUGACCCACACCAGCCUCGGUCCCGCCAGGUCCUGCCGUCGCUUGGACACCUCUUCCUAGUGCUCUGCCUUCACCUGUUUUAGACACAGAAGAACAAUAAGCUACUCUUUUGAUUAAAACCCUGCAGUGAAUCACCGCCUCACUCAGAGUCAGCCCAGUGCCUUCACAGUAACCCACUGUGAUCUGUCCCCAAACGCAAGACACUGUCCCCCCCCACACCGAGCCUCUUCCCCACCUCCCUGUCUCGCUUCCCCGUCGGGCAGGCUCCACCUUCAGGGUUUACUCUGAUGAUCGCUCUCUGCUUGACUUGUGUUUUCCUCCCCGAUGCUUCGUUCCCUGAUCAACUCCAUGCUCCUCCUAGAGCCUCUGAUCUGACCUGGGAGCAUCCCCAGAUCAGCGGUGCUCGUGUGAACAAACAGCGGGGCUGUGGACGGUGGGAGGACCAGGGUCUCAGUGGGAGACUGUGCUUCAGUGCACGUGUUCUCAUUGUUAUUUUUUUAAUUUUAUUUAUUUACCUAUUUUUUUAUUUUAGGGGAUUUUUACUUUUUCCAUUAUAGCUGGUUUACAGUGUUCUGUCAAUUUUCAACUGUACCGCAAGGGGACCCCGUCACACACACACACAUACGUUCUUUUUCUCACUUUAUCCUCCAUCGUGUUCCAUCACAAGUGACUGGAUAUAGUUCCCAGUGCUCUGCUGCAGGAUGUUCUCAUUUUUAAAUUUUCCUGUAUAGACAGUCAACUUCCCGAUCCCACUCUGCUCCUUUUCUGUAUUUCGCACACUUUGCUGCUCAUGGUCUUUCUGAAUUUCCAUGCUCCAGGUAGAGGUCAAAACUAAAAGGUUUUCAGCAUGGCUCAGAUGAAAUUGUUUGGUUAAGCCCCAGUUUCCGGGGGGCAGAAAUCAACGUGUUCACUGAAACCAAAGCUCCCCAAUAUCAGGGCAACACCACCAUGCGGUAAGGUCAGCUUAUCCUUUCCCAGUCCCGACAUGCCUUGGAGAAUGAUGGCCUGACACAGAGGCUAUUAUCUUUCCUUUAGGGAAGAUUUGCACAGAAACACUAAAAUAGAAUGCAGCGGACCAAAGAAGCCAACACACCUACUGCCCCAAGCAGAAUAAAUUAUAAAACUCCUGUUUUAUAGCUGUUUGAGAGCAUGAGAAGUGAGAAAUAGACAUACUGAAAUUUCACAGACAGAAAAAAUAUUUCUAGGUAAUCUGAUCACUUCUGGCCAUUUUCUUCCACGGGGGCAUAGCUGAUUCUGGCUAAGAGUUAAUGAGGAGGCUUAGCCU
rnacentral:lncRNA from 1 species